AUUUACAUCUUUAUCAUUUUAAUCAUCACAAAUGAAGGUCUUAUCAAUAUUCAUUAAAGGUCUUUGUGCUGAUAUAUAUUUUCAUUUAUUUUUGAUAAAUGCUUAAGAAUGGAAGUGCUGGUCAUCAGAAUCGUCAGCAUAUCCUCAUUCUUCUUGGACAUGGGACAAGAGGUCGAGAUCCACCAACACAGGU
rnacentral:lncRNA from 1 species